rnacentral:lncRNA from 1 species
AAAUCUCAAAAUAACAACCAGAUUAAUUUUUCAAUUUUAAAUUAUUUCUAUCUCUAAAUUUGUUAAUCGUCCAACCAAUAAAAAACAAAAUCAGUUAAGUUAAUGGUAAAAAAUUUAGUACAAAAACUUGAGCAAUGAAGGAUUUAUUUAUUUUUGUCUAAAUCUAAAUAUCUGAUCCCGGCCCGAAAUAUUAAAACCAAACUAAAAGAUAUCAUAACCUGACCCGAUAUGUAAAAUACUCGAACGGGUUCUAGACCCCCAUUACCGAAAUACCCUCAAAAUCUGAAAUAUCCGCUUCAAACCCAAAUGUGUAUCUAAACGCUCAUGC